GAUGAACGCUGGCGGCGUGCCUAAUACAUGCAAGUCGAGCGAACGGACGAGAAGCUUGCUUCUCUGAUGUUAGCGGCGGACGGGUGAGUAACACGUGGAUAACCUACCUAUAAGACUGGGAUAACUUCGGGAAACCGGAGCUAAUACCGGAUAAUAUUUUGAACCGCAUGGUUCAAAAGUGAAAGACGGUCUUGCUGUCACUUAUAGAUGGAUCCGCGCUGCAUUAGCUAGUUGGUAAGGUAACGGCUUACCAAGGCAACGAUGCAUAGCCGACCUGAGAGGGUGAUCGGCCACACUGGAACUGAGACACGGUCCAGACUCCUACGGGAGGCAGCAGUAGGGAAUCUUCCGCAAUGGGCGAAAGCCUGACGGAGCAACGCCGCGUGAGUGAUGUAGGUCUUCGGAUCGUAAAACUCUGUUAUUAGGGAAGAACAUAUGUGUAAGUAACUGUGCACAUCUUGACGGUACCUAAUCAGAAAGCCACGGCUAACUACGU
rnacentral:rRNA from 1 species